CAGAAGACCCUUAACUGGAAAAGAGGAGAAGGAUAAUGGCCUUCAGUUUAUGAGGGUUGCUAUAGCAAAGGACAAGUGAGAAGAAAUUUCCAUCAGGUCCAGUCUCCAAUUGGCUGAAGAUUGGCUCCAUGGAAGAUAAUUUUCCCUUGUGUCUGAGUUGGGCAAUCGUGGGCACUAGGGGUGGUCCUGAAGUGGUAAGGUCCACAGAGAUGCCCUGAAGGGGAAGCAAGAGGAAGUGCAAGAGCAGGAUGGCACUUCUGUGAAGUGGGCUGAUGCUCACACAGUGCUGUCACUGCUUGAGGCUGGAAGAAGAGACAGGUCCCCGCAUCAGAGGAACACAUUGUUUUCUUGGGAAGCCUUCAAGAGACAGUCAUGCAUGGCAAAGCAUUCUUGAACUCCCACGCUGAGCAGGAGCUACAUGACCGGGUGAGUGUGGGCAGCCUGCAGAGAAGGAGCUGACAUUUGUCUUAAUUGGAGUUACCAUGUAAAUCCCACCUGUCUCCUCCUGGUGCCCAUGGCCUUUGAUGGGCAGGGAAGGGGGCUCUGAACAGAGAGAGGCUCAUAAUGUCCCUGGGGAUACAAGGCGUUAUUAAUGUAGGCUCUGGAAGGAGAUGUUCCCACUUGUCAGCAGGGAAAAUGAGCUGGAAUUGAGUUUAAAAAAAAAAAAGAGAGAGAGAGAAAGAAAGAAAAAGAACACAGGCAUCUAGGCAAGAAGAGUGGCAGAACUCCCCCCAGGGCAGAUACCCUUCUGCCCCUCCCAUGGGUCACCCCUGUCUUUCAAAACCAGCCUCUAACCCAGAGGUUUUCAAACUCAGCUACCAAUCGUCACCUGGGAGCUGUAACAAUUGCUGAUGUCUCUGCCCCAGCCCCAGAUAUCUUUAUUUCAUUGGCCUGGGGUGUGGCCUAUGGAAAUUGGGGUUUUUAAGCUCCCAAGUGAUUCUAUGUGCAGUGGGGUUGCAAAACUGCAGGUUGAAUCUUAGCUUCUCCAGGAAGCCACCUCUGAUUAGCUGAUGCUAAUCUAUGAGCCCAGUGGAACUGUCACCUUUUCUAAUCAGCCAGCCCUGAUGUAUCCAUACAAUUGGAGGGGGAUGGGGUGAAAUAACCCCCAUUAGUGUGAAUUGGUUGAAGAGGACACAGAAGGAUGUAGGAUGUACCUUCUCAUUUCUCUGAGCUUAACUUCCAAAUGAACAAGCAUUUGCAGCUGCUGGACAGCCACAAAAUCAAUUCACUCAGUCAUUUAACCAACAUUCAUUGAGCACCUAUUAUGGAUAAAGAGCAAUGAGAGAUUCACAGCAUAUUUGAUAUAGUCUCUGUAAACCAAAAAUAAAAUUCUAAGUCCCCUAAAUGACGGAAUGGAGCCCCCCUCUUCACCAAGGAGACCCCAAAGAAACUUGAAAAACUAAUUUUGGGAAUGACAGGAAGCAGGGAUUGGACAUACCUCAUUGUAGCCCCCUCUUUUUGGAGUUUAG
rnacentral:lncRNA from 10 species